UAAUCUCCAUUGUUCUUCCGUCUUGCUCCAGUCGUAAGUUGAAUAGGCAGUAUUAUCUUCUUUAUAAUUAUUCGAUAUUUAAUACCGAGCGUUUCAUCGGCAACGUUGACACCGAUUGAUUCGAACGGUUCGGUAAACGAAUUUAAACCAUUUAGAACGCUCGGUGCGAAUCGAAUGCGCUCGGGAACGCAGCCACGCAAGACGGGACAUUUAGCGAGGCAGCUGAAAACAUGGUCCGGCGAAAGUGGAAACAAUGUUCCAGGAACAAAGCAACGCAGAAGUUUCACCACGUAUUUUUGGUUCGCGUUACAAUAGAAACCGUGACUUACGUGCAACACUGAUCUUCCGGAAAAGCGGUUUUGUUUCGUAUUCCCUAAAUGUUUUCCUCUUCUCGGCAAACCACCGGCAGUGACACUUUGACGUUUCAGGAUAUUGAAUUUCUCCAGUAAAAUGCUCAAGUCAUACGGCGGCGAACAGAAAUACGAUAAUUAACGAUUGUCCGUCGACGAAAGUUUAGGAAAUAAUAGUUUCCUCUGGCUUAUAAAGCCAGCCGUACACUGGGACUGGUCUCAGACACGUUAGGUGUUUGGGAACGGACAAACACGAAACUCUGCCUGUAAAUUACUCGACUUACAAAGGAAGGAAUAAUGUUCCAUUUAGAACGGCUAACAACCACCUGAUGCCUUUUUUAUCGACCAAUCGUUGAACCUAACCGAUAUAGAACAAAAGAAACACAGUGAACCUAGAUAGAAACACAUCUCAUUAUCACAAAGUAUAACAACUAA